GGCACAUCCAUUCUUCAGCCAACUGCUUCCUCUCCUGGAUGCUAAGGGACAGGCCUUCUCCUGUGGUGCCAUUCACAAAGAUGUUCUUCACAUUCUGCUCGCUUACCAGGUAAUCCACAUACUGGUGAAUCACUGAAAGGUUGAUUCGUCCGUCAGGAGUCAUCGGGGUGACUGUGGCAGCGACCAGACCCUCCAGCUUCUUUCUGGGUGUCAUCGAGCUCCACAACCCGCGCCCGAAGCGCCCCGCCGGCUCCGGAGCGGCUGUG
rnacentral:lncRNA from 1 species